UUAAAGGGCUCCUGCAGGAGCUGAGUGCUGACCCAGCCGAGUGCUCCGCCAUUCAGAGCUGAGCAGAGAAAGGGAAAGCAGAUAAGAUGCUCUGCUGAAGCUAUUGCACUAUAAGAUGUUACUGCAUACCUCUGGAGCAGCUGGGACUUGAACCUGAACUUCCUGAUCCAGAGAUAGGGACAGGGCCUACAAUCUACUAUAAUGUUUAUGACAUUGUUACAACCAGAUAAAGGGCCUCAAGAUGAUGGGGAAGAUGACAGGAAACUGUAACCAAACAACAAAG